UACGUAGGGUGCAAGCGUUGUCCGGAAUUAUUGGGCGUAAAGAGCUCGUAGGCGGCUUGUCGCGUCGGCUGUGAAAACCUGGGGCUCAACCCCGGGCCUGCAUCCGAUACUCCCGGGCUGGAGGCAGGUAGGGGAGAUCGGAAUUCCUGGUGUAGCGGUGAAAUGCGCAGAUAUCAGGAGGAACACCGGUGGCGAAGGCGGAUCUCUGGGCCUUGCCUGACGCUGAGGCGCGAAAGCUAGGGGAGCGAACAGG
rnacentral:rRNA from 1 species